GGAAAAAAAUAAACCUGCUUCAGCUUCAGCCUUGGCUGCUAUGUUAUGUGUCCUGUUACAAUGUUGUCUGAUUGUCUUUUCUUUCUUUAGUCCUCACUCCCUCCCUGAGACCCUGAUGACUGACUGAGCUGGCUUGGUCAGGGGAUACAGGCCCCCAAGAGGUGCUUUGCUCAACACAUUGAAUCCUUACUUGGUCCCAUACGGAAAGAGUCCUGGAGGCUAAGACAGACCACCUCUACAUGGAAAUGAUUAUCUCUGACAAAGAGGAUGCAGCCAGAAGCAGAUCCCCUCCUGUGAUGGCACCGGCAGUUGCAGGGAUGGAAGCUGGGGCCUCGCACAUGCUCGGCAACACUCUGCUGCCACCGAACCUCAUCCCCAGCCGCUCCACAAGAAUUCCCCUCAGGGGGCUGUGGGGGUGGCAGGGUUGGAAGAAGAGGAAGAUUAAAAUAAAACAGCACUGCAAACACAAAUAACCCUUCUUAAUUUCGAGGCUCACCAGCAACCUCUAUAGAUCUGGACAAUGUGGUCUGGCACCUCUCUAUUUAUGACUGGCAACAAAAAUAACGCGGUCCUUAACCAAUUAUUUUAAAAAGUUGGUAGCACAGCAUUUCUGUGAAUGUCAAAAGAAAACAACAAAAAUAGAGCCUUUAAGAAUUUCUUCCAUCUGGCAUCCUGCAUGCACACUGGCUGAAUAAAGAUGUAAACAGUACAGCCCACUGUAGAACAGGCCUCCUGCUCUAUAUAGAGAACACAGCCCAGGGUUCCCGUGUGACGUGCAAUGAACUGGAUUCUGCUACUUCAGCCAGUAUACCCUGCAC
rnacentral:lncRNA from 1 species